GGUGUGUCCGUGCUGCUGCAGCUGUCUGGGCUGACUGUUCCUGCAGAUUCUCAGGUUAUUCUGGAGAUUCCUGCACUUCCUGUGGUGGCAGGAAAUGAUGUCACUCUGCGCUGUAGCAGCAAAGAUCAGGUCGCACUCGAAGCCUUUUUCAUCAGGGAUGGUUCUAAACUUGGAUCUGGACCUGAAGGACAGUUUACCAUCAGGAACAUCAGUCAGUCUGAUGAAGGUCUCUACUGGUGUUAUUUUGAUCAGACUGCUGAAUCUCCUCGGAGAUGGCUGAGGGUCAGAGAUGAUGCUCAGGUUAUUCUGGAGAUCCAAGCUUUUCCUGUGGUGGAAGGAAGUGAUGUCACUCUGCGCUGUAGAAGCAAAGAUCAGGUCGCACUAGAAGCCUUUUUCAUCAGGAAUGGUUCUAAACUUGGAUCUGGACCUGAAGGACAGUUUACCAUCAGGAACAUCAGUCAGUCUGAUGAAGGUCUCUACUGGUGUUAUUUUGAUCAGACUGCUGAAUCUCCUCGGAUAUGGCUGAGCG